GACGACUCCUGGGACCUGGCGGACGCCGAGGUCGUGUGCCGGCAGCUGGGGCGCGGCUGGGCUGUGGACGCUCUGGCGGGGGCCGCCUUCUGACCAGGCUCGGGGCCCGUGUGGCUGGAUGAGGUGGGGUGCCGGGGCAGUGAGGCCUUGCUGUGGGGCUGCCCAGCGGAGCCAUGAGUCCACGGAGACUGCGGGCACAAGGAGGACGCGGGCGUGCGCUGUGCAGGUGACAGAGAAGCCGUCACCCUAUGUUCAACAUCGGGCAGUCCUCUGGUCCUGGCACCUGCCCUCGAGGCUGGGACUCUGCCCAUGACCUUCGGCCUGGCCCUCGGCACCCUGCUGGUCGUCAUCUCACUGGUCCUAGGGGCGCAGUGGUUCCGGGGCAGAGGCACCUGCAGGGGCUCUGGAAUGUCGGGGAGUCUGCCCUCUGAAGGCCUUUAUGAGGACAUUGGAGCUGCUGCUGCGGGGGAGGAGGACGAGGCUGCUGGAGCCUCCGCGGCGCCGGAGGAGGAGGAUGACGACGCGGCGGAGCCCGAGCCCGAGGAGGGCGCCGCGGAGGAGGGCGCGCCCCUGAGCGCCGCGGGUCUGCAGCUCUGCGUCGUGGCGUCCGUGGCGCUGUUCCUGCGCUGCUGCUGCUGCGCCCCGGGCGCCGCCCCCGCCAGCCCCUACAUCUGAGAGCCGGAGAGCCCCGCGCGGGGCUCUUCAUAGCCUGGGCCUUCUCACACCUCAGGCUGGGAAGAAGACCCCAGUGGCCUGUGCCCCGGGGCGUGCUGACCACGAGCCGGCUCCAGGGGACAUCAGCGAGACCAGGGCAAGGGAGAGGCCAGUGUGCCUGGGGCUUUCAUCCUCCUUGUUUCUUAAAGAGUUUUAUUAAAUGUCUCAUCCAUAAUUCAUCUCAGUCACUCAGACGCCCACCACGGCCUGGGGUCUGUUUC
ensembl:lncRNA